rnacentral:lncRNA from 1 species
ACUCAGAUUCAAGACAGGAAGGCUGAAGGGCCCCAGGGGUAGAGCUGCCCAGCCCGUUGUCCUGAGACCAUGCAGGCAGCGGUGAAGCCACCAACACUGCCACAGAGAGGGCAGUGGAAGCUGAAAGGAAAAGCUGCCCCCUAGCAGCGAAGGCUCAGGUUCUGGGAUGCUCCUAGGAUGUCCCAGUACCACUGGCAGCCGUCCACAACCGAGUGGAGGAGGAAAACGGACAUUCAAAGAGGCGAAGAAACGCGUCCAAGAGGUUUUGACCCUAUUGCUCGGUGCCGUUUCUCCUUUAUCACCAUGGAAAUGUUCACUGAGGUUAUUAGCUGGUUGUGGAAGGCUUUUGUAAGUUGGUGGAAAUUAAUGUUGGUGGAAGUUAAUGGGGUGGGACAGCUCUGUACGAAGGGAGAAUGCAAGAGUUAUGGGGUUUUAUUAAUUGCAGGGUCUGAUAUAUACUCAAAUGGCAGAUAUGAUAAAAACUCGUAUUGCAGAGUGCUGUUUGUGCUUAUCCCCAUUUUACAGAAAGCUAAGGAAGGAAGUGGUUGAUGGCAAAGGAUGACUGAGUCACUGGUGACACUUAGGGCUGAGCCUUAAUUCCUUAGUCCUGAUAUCAUUUCUUUGCCCUUCCCAGGAGGAGGUACCUGAUUAAAGGGAAGAAAACUUUUUCACUAAUAACACACUGGCCUCAUCUAACUCCCUGCAUCUUUAAUUAAUGUUUACAAACACUUUAAUCUACCCCACUUACUACUUAAUUAGGCAAGUAUUAUUACCCCCUCUUUCUGAACCAAAUCCAGAAGAGACUUAAGUCCUUAAUCCUCCUUAAAUAAUGCACCUAAGCUUUCUGUCCAUGUUCUUUUUAUUUCCUCUUUUGUACCAUAUUGUUAAACGUUAAUGUAUUUAUCAUUUAUUGGCUUAGUAAAAAAGAUAUUAAAUAGCCACGGGUGGGAGGUAAUAUAGGCAACCUCUAUCUUUCAUAAAUUCAGAUUUUAAACAGACAUUAUGAUAAGUGCUUCCCAGAAUUUUUCUUUUCCUCUUUACUGGUGGUUGUUUUUCUUAGCUUGGUUAAACUUUUAUUAUGCAUAUGCAUAUGCUUAACUUAGUUAUUAUAAAGUACACAUUAUGUUGUGCAUACAAAUUAAAUUUUACAUGGUAUCUUCUUCCAGGUGAAGAGGAAAUAUAAGGAGGAAGAAACUGAAGGAUGAUGGGAUUAGGAAGGAAGAAAGGGAAAAGAAAAAGGCAAACAAGAAAAGGUGGGAAGGGAGCAAGAAAUGAACAGGGAGAAAAUGAGACAGAUUUCAACCAAGGCAGUAGGGGAUGAAGGCAGCCCUGCUAACUGGGACCCGAGCCUUGUGGGAAUUUCAAGCAGGCUGCCCUUCUUUGGGGCUGGUGCAGAACUGGCCAGGGCCCAGCAUGAGUACCUGAGUCCUCUGCACCCCUGUCCACAUACCUCUGUCCCAACUGAACAUACCCAAAGGUGUUAGAUGGUGAGAAAGGAUACAAAAUGAAGAAAGCAAAAAAUGGGUUAGAGGGGGAAUUUAAAGAUUCUUAAAAGUACUUUUUUUUUUGUAUUUAAAAGUACUUGGGUAACAUCAAUGGAGAAAAGAGCAAAGAAACAUCUGGAGGGUUGUGGAUAUGCAAUUUUUACUACUUUAAAAUCUUUGAUACUGACGAAACUUUGCUUUCUGUUCACUUGACUUUUUACUGAAUUCUUUUGAGGCUGGUCUUUGCUAAGAAAAUACCGAUGAUACACGGCCCCAAAUAUUAGACGAUUAUUCUUAUUACCUUUGUGUAAGUUAACAACUUUUAAGUAAACUUUAAAACUGUAAGCUAAUAAUUUUUCUUGUAUUAAAAUGAGUACUGUGUGAAUUGGCUUGAGAAACUGCAAUAUCUGUAAUGACCACGAGAGGGAGGUAGAUGGGAAAUGGGAAAGAACAGAAAAUAAAUUUCAAGAGUUUUCUUUACUAAAAAAUUAUAGUAUUUUAGAGCUAAAAGGGGAGAUAUCAAAAGACAUGAUUCUCCUUCUCUCUCUCUCUCCUUUUUUUUUUUUGGCUGCACUGUGCGGCUUGCAAGGAUCAUAUUUCUCCUACCAGGAUUGAACUCGGGCCUGGCAGUGGGAACACCAAAUCCUAACAACUGGACCACCAGCAGGGAAUUCUCCAAAAGACAUGUUUUUGAUUUAUGCCUCUUCCAUUUAGAAUAUGUGUAAACUUGAACUAUGUCUUCCUUUUGAGACUCAGUUUCUUACUUGUAUGAUGAAGCUAUUAAACCUACUUUAGGAGGCUAAAACGAAAUUAUUUUAAAAUUUACUUGAACAAGUAGCAGAUGAAAAAUGUUAAGAAAAUAAUGAAAGUGAAGAAAAAUACUGGAAAUUUCCCCACUUGGUAGUUAAACAUAGUGUAAAUAAUAAAGUGAAUGUUAGCAUACAGGAAGGAGAAGGCAACGGCAGUUGUCAGUACUCUUGCCUGGAAAAUCCCAUGGGCGGAGGAGCCUGCCUAGUACGCUGCAGUCCAUAGGGUCGCGAAGAGUCAGACUCGACUGAAGCGACUUAGCAGCAGCAGCAGCAGCAGCAUAUAGAAAUAGAAUGGUAGUAUAUAUUGAAUGAUAUAGAUAAUAAAAUGGAGUAAAUAACCCAGAAAAAGACACUGGGUCAAUAUAGUGUAGAUUUUAAUAUGUGAUGGAGUCAUCUAAAAUAAAUAAAAAAGGGACAGAUCCUCAAUAAAUGGACUUAAGAAGACUAGUAAUUUGAAAAAAAAUCAAGUUGAGCUCAUACCUUUCAUUAUGUGUUAAAAGAAAAUUCAGCUACAUUAAAGAACUGUAAAACUAGAAAAUUUAGGCAAAUAUUCAUGUAACCUCAAGAUGAGGGAAUAAAAGAAAUGAAAAAAUCAUAAAGGAAAUGACCAGUAGACUACAUUACAUGAGAGUUUUAAAAUUUUGACAACUAAGUAAAAAUAUUGUAAGCAAAAUUUGAAAAGAGAAAAAAACUUACAAAACUAUAGAAAUCAAAUCUGGCAGUUCAUUUCAUCCUCAAUACAAGAGUACACACAAUAUCUGAUUCAGAUUUAUGAAAUCAA